UACGUAGGGGGCAAGCGUUGUCCGGAUUUAUUGGGCGUAAAGAGCGUGUAGGCGGCUUGGUAGGUCUCGCGUCAAAACCUGAGGCUCAACCUCAGUUCGCGUGGGAAACCACCUAGCUAGAGUCCGGAAGAGGAGAACGGAAUUCCCAGUGUAGCGGUGAAAUGUGCAGAUAUUGGGAAGAACACCAGUGGCGAAGGCGGUUCUCUGGGACGGUACUGACGCUGAGACGCGAAAGCGUGGGGAGCGAACAGG
rnacentral:rRNA from 1 species